CCCUUAGAUGUUCUGGGCCGCACGCGUGCUACACUGAGUGGAUCAGCGGGUCAGGUUGCGCGAAAGCGUUUCCUAAUCUUUAAAUCCGCUCGUGAUGGGGAUUGACGGUUGCAAUUUUCUGUCAUGAACGAGGAAUACCUUGUAAGCGCGGGUCAUCAUCCCGCGCUGAAUACGUCCCUGCCCUUUGUACACACCGCCCGUCGCUCCUACCGAUUGAAUGUUUCGGUGAAGAUUCCGGAUAGGACUUUUUUGAUUUAUUUCAAUUUUGUCUUAAAAGCUAUCUAAACCUCAACAUUUAGAGGAAGGUGAAGUCGUAACA
rnacentral:rRNA from 1 species